rnacentral:rRNA from 1 species
AGACCCGAAACCCGGUGAUCUAGCCAUGGGCAGGUUGAAGGUUGGGUAACACUAACUGGAGGACCGAACCGACUAAUGUUGAAAAAUUAGCGGAUGACCUGUGGCUGGGGGUGAAAGGCCAAUCAAACCGGGAGAUAGCUGGUUCUCCCCGAAAGCUAUUUAGGUAGCGCCUCGUGAAUUCAUCUCCGGGGGUAGAGCACUGUUUCGGCUAGGGGGCCAUCCCGGCUUACCAACCCGAUGCAAACUGCGAAUACCGGAGAAUGUUAUCACGGGAGACACACGGCGGGUGCUAACGUCCGUCGUGAAGAGGGAAACAACCCAGACCGCCAGCUAAGGUCCCAAAGUCAUAGUUAAGUGGGAAACGAUGUGGGAAGGCCCAGACAGCCAGGAUGUUGGCUUAGAAGCAGCCAUCAUUUAAAGAAAGCGUAAUAGCUCACUGGUCGAGUCGGCCUGCGCGGAAGAUGUAACGGGGCUAAACUAUGCACCGAAGCUGCGGCAGCGACACUAUGUGUUGUUGGGUAGGGGAGCGUUCUGUAAGC